rnacentral:lncRNA from 1 species
AUGUUUUGCAUUCUAAGGGGAAUAAAUUAUGAGGCUUUUAACUAGUACAGAGGAGAGGCACCCCCAUGUCUAUGGUAUAUUUGGGGCAAGAAGGGGAAAAUGUCAGAAUGGAUCCAGCAAGAAUUCUGGAUCAUGGAUAACAGGGUUAAGAAACCAAGGGAUGAGGCUGAAGAGGUGGCUCGGCCUUAAGAGUACUGACAGAGAAGCCUUUCGGAAAGUCUUUUAAUAGGAACAGACUGGAAGUCCCCACUCUCACCCCAUACUACAAUUCCCAAGUCCUUUUAGCCCCUUACCAUGGUAUCAUCUCUUUCUUUACACCCUGACCACCAUGGGUGUCAUCAGCUAACCCUGCCUCAGAAUUGCCCAGGACUAAGCAAGAAGCUGUUCAGUUCCCAGCAUCCACAUGGAGGCUCACAACCAUCUGUAACUCCACUUCUAGAUGAUCUGACCCUCACUCCUGGCCUCCAUGGACACUGACAUGGUGAACAUACAUGCAGGCUCUCACAUAACACAGAAAGAAA